AACUGAUACUACCUGCGGGAACCUGCGGAGGGAUCAUUACAAAUCUUUUGCGAGUGCUGCGUGCGUAACUGUUCGUAGCAUCUCACACAUUAGCACAAGAUCGCAAGGUCUUGAUGUUUACGCUUGUUUGUUUGACAGAGUUAGUUGAGAAAAUAAAAAGACAACUUUCAACAACGGAUCUCU
rnacentral:misc_RNA from 1 species